CUGUUUGUAGCUAUUGACUAUAAUAGGCCUCUUUCAGACCAAGGUCUUUUUGAUAUAGUGUUGAAUAAGUUAUCGGGGAAAGAGUGGCGCCAAGUUCUUGAGAAGCUUGGCACCUGUUGUGGAAAGGUACUUAGCUUGAGUUGUAAAAACAGU